UUCAUUUAAAGGGACACUAUAGUCACCUGAACAACUUCAGCUUAAUGAGGUUGUUCAGGUGAGAACUAUAGCUCCCUGCAGCCUUUCUCAUGUAAACACUGUAUUUUCUGAGAAAAUACAGUGUUUGCAUUGAAAGCUAGGAAAACCUCCAGUUGCAGUCACUCAGAGUGAACCAGAGGGACUUCGGAGUUGAUGGAGCCAUAAUAUGCCUCCAUCCACUCAGAUCUGCUGUCAGCAGAGCACAGUGCA